rnacentral:lncRNA from 1 species
ACCCCCUGUCCAAGGCCAUACAGCAGAUGACUUAUUCUGGAGGAAGACACCUGCCAUGCCGUGAGGACAUUCAAGCAGUUCUGUGGAGAGAUCCAUGUGGUGAGAAACAGGGGCCUUCUGUCAACAGGAAGAACAACCUGGCAGGCCUGUCUUGGAUUCAGAGCCUCCAGCCCCAGUCGAGCCUUCAGAUAACUGCACCCUUGGCUGUCAUCUCAACUGCAAUCUCAAGACAGACCCUGAGCUGGAACUACUCUGUUUAACCAAUGCCUGGC